GGGGUGGGGAGGUCUGAACACAGCUUCUGGGCAUCCGCGCCUUUCUCAGCCUCACCUUGACCCUCUGGAAAAUGGAUCGAGCCAUCACUAGGAGAUGCCGCGGCAGGCAGGAGCCGUCAGAAAAUUGGAGGGCUGCGCUAGAGGGUCAGGUCGCAAAUACAGGGGACAGGAGACGUCAGACGCUGGGAAAAACUUCCCAACCUUGCGCAGGAGACACAUCCACAGUCACCAGCAUCGGAAAGAAAGAAUGUCCCCCGCUCCACCCACCCCUCAUCAGCGACGAGGGCCAAAGCUCCAGGCACCUGUAUUAAAAUGAGCCGGUGCUUUGGAGGAAAGAGAGGAAGAGACCCGCUCCCCUAGUCCUCUGAACCCUGGAAUCCCGCUCCCAGGAAGAAUGACCCGAAGGAGUCUGCAGAGCAUGCUCCCCCCCACCCCACACACACACACCCCAACCUGGGUCUUGGGCUGCAAAGUCCCCUCCCCUGGCCACUCAUCUAUGCCCCUCCUGGCGAAGUUCAAGCAUUCCACUAAGGAGAGUACAGUUUAGGGGUCAGCUCACUUUGAGACAGGAGAAGCUGUGAUGAAAGCACCCACCAGCCUGGGAACCAGGCUCCCUAGGUUUGAAUAUAGCCAUGGCACCUGCUGUCUGAUUUUCCUUCUGACUCAAUUUUUCUCAUUUGUGAAAUGGGGGUGAUAAUAGCUACGUCAGAGGGUUGUUAGGAGGACUAGAUGAGUAAAGGAUCUAGAACAGUGUGUGACAUUUGCAUCAUGUAAAUGUUUAUUGUCUGAUUUUGAAUUUUAUAGGAGCCCUGUGAAAUAGGCAGGGCAGAUGCUAGAGAGAGAGAGACUCGCUCAAGGUAACCAAGUUGGUAAAUGGCAGAGUUAGGGUUCCAAUCCUGAAAAUCCUAACCCCAGGUCCAGGGUCAGCCUCACUCCAGCAUAGCUGUCUCCCACUUGAGGACCCGGACAGAACCCCAGGCUAGCUGGGUGGGCGCUCACAAAGAUGGAUCCUCAGGUGAGGAGAUCCGGGUGGUCCUCCAGUCACCCCUGUAAGCCCCAGGUGUUCAGACUUUGAGGCUUCCAGGUCAUCUGCCUAGGCUGGUUUUGGACACUAAAUUAAACCAGACGCCUUGGGUCAGGGUGAGCAGGGGGUAGACAGAAUGUACGGGGUGCUCCAAAGAAUGACAAGAGCUCACUUUUAUUGAGCGUCACCUUUGUGCCAGGCACGUGCUAAGUGCUUGACUUGGAUUAUCCCAUUAAAAUUCAUCAUAACCCUAUGGCGUGGUUACUGUCGUAACUGCUGAUUUGCAGAUGAAAACAUGGAAGCAGGGAGCUUAAACAUCUUGUCUAAAAUGCACUGCCUCCUCCAGCAGUUCGAGGCACAAUGUGCCUGUCACUGUUUUGGUGCCCUGGUCCUCACUUCCAGGAAAAGAAAAUAUGCUAACAUUUCUUGAAUGUUGUGAUGGCUCUUCUUAUCCUAGGAUGAAACUGCCGUCUGCGUUGGCCUUUACACCUCUUCCCCCCUUGCCCUCCAAAGAAUUUGUGUGAAGGUGUGUAUGUGGGGGUGCAGACAGUUAGUCAGGCCUGAUUAAAGGCAUCCUUUCUGUCCAGAUAAGUUUCAGGCGUAGGAUCUCAGCCCACUGUCUCUCUUCCUCUUCACCUCGUCCCUCAGCUCUUCCUGCUAGCCCUGACCUAGAGGUUCCCUCAGCUCUCAGGGAUGAAUUCCUUGCCUCCUCCCCGCCCCCCCAUCCCAAUACAUACACAAGGGGCUGGGGCCCACGGAGACAGUAAGAUGGGGCUGGGGAGGGGUUGGAAAGUGAGCAGGGCACUCGCACUCGGAGGUCAGGGAGCACCUGUCCUCCUACUGUAAUCUCUUUUUCCUCUCUGCUUCCCCCAACUCUUUUUUUUUUUUUUAA